UACGUAGGGGGCAAGCGUUGUCCGGAUUUAUUGGGCGUAAAGAGCGUGUAGGCGGCUAUACAGGUCCGCUGUGAAACUCGAGGCUCAACCUCGAGACGUCGGUGGAAACCGUAUGGCUAGAGUCCGGAAGAGGAGAGUGGAAUUCCUGGUGUAGCGGUGAAAUGCGCAGAUAUCAGGAAGAACACCCGUGGCGAAGGCGGCUCUCUGGGACGGUACUGACGCUAAGGCGCGAAAGCGUGGGAGCAAACAGG
rnacentral:rRNA from 1 species